CUCCCUUACAAGAAAACUUCUUAGCCCUCAGGAAUGAAGUUUUGCUGCAACACAAGUGGGUUCUGCAAGAGGAGGCCUCCAGGCAAGAAGCAGCUGUCUCCCAGGCAGGUCAAAGCCAUUUAAGGGAAAAUACAGGAGGACAUCUUUAUUUCCUUCCAUAUGCUAUCAGAUGGCUAUAGGAAACUGGUGUCAUCAGUAAUUAGUCCACUCUUUUGGAAGAUAACGAGGGCAGCAGGAGUGACACCUUUCGCGGAAGGCUGUUGUCUACAGCAGAAAGGAGACAGAGGAGCACUUUCGGUUUGAGCAGGCAGAAUCUCUUCCUUUCGCUUUGAGCCGAAUUCCCAGGACGCAGCUGUUCCAUCCUGCGUCAUUGCAAGUGGCAGCCCUGGGACUAUGUUCAGACAAAGCCAAUAUACGAUUAUGGGAAAAUACCUCCUUUUUCUCCAGAUAAACAGAGAGAGGCGUAUGACUGAAAUCCAGCUUUGGAUGCUGAGUACCACUAAAGCUGAUUCUGUGUUUGAAAAUACAUUAAAAAAAAAUCCAAGUUCCUCAUACUCUAUUUUUUCCAAGCCUUUUAAACUAUAAAUCUUUGAGACAUCAAAUCAGACUUUUUGUAUCAAAUAAAGUAGGGUGAGACAUGCAUAGCGUACGUUUGCCUCUUAAGUCAGUGUUUCUUGAUACUAUAUGUUGCAUUAUGCUACUUGCAAAAGUAGCUUUCCAAAAACAAGAGAAGCCCAAUAUACUCAUAUUGAACGUACUCAGUGUAUAUAGUCUGACACUGACGUAGCGAAUAGAUUCCAAAUGAAAUUUCUGAUGAGAGAUUUAAACAGAAUGAAACUAUCCAUAAGACAGAGAUGAGAAUUAAUUCUAACAGAAUUCCACCGUGUUUGUGCUGUGGAUAUGGGCACUGUGGUCUGAAAUUAUUAUUUAGAAACUGUUCCAUUGCUGCUGAAUAUAAGUGAGAGUAAGUAAAAAACCCUGUCUCAUCUGCAAGACUUAAUGGAUCCAAUCCUACAAGAUAAACUGCAUGCAGAUUAAUGUGUCCGACUGCAACUAUUUCCUGAUCUUUUUCAAUACAUGCUGUUACGACGAUUCUUUCAUAAAGAGACAUAGCAUGACUUUACUGUGUUUAUGGUUAGAAGCCUGACUUUUUGUCUGUAGGAUCUUCCCCAGUUUUCCAGAAGAAAGUCAGGCUUUCUUGCCAAAGAUGAAAGAGGUUCACUACAUUUCUGGGAUUCUUAACAAUCUAAGCCCACAGGAUUAAAAAUUGGUGGAUUGGGUUUUUUCGCGUGUGUGUUUCUUUGAGAGGGAAACUUGGGAGCAAGGUAGACAUCCCAGAACUGAAGACAAAAGUACACAACAGAAACAGAUCACAAGCUUAGGGCAACUGCCUUACAGGACUCUGGAGCCCAGGGGUAGUAGGCACUUC